AUGCUAAAUUAUCUGGAAUAUUGGACAUCAAAUGCAUUAUCAGACCAGUUCACCCAGGAUGAUAUGAAACACUUUCGACAAAAAAUAGCUGUCAUUUUGCUCGAUUCAGAGCUAAAUAAGCUAAUAGGAAGUCCCAUAUACCAUCAACCUGACAAUGAAGAAACUUUAGCUAAUUCUGAUCUCGAGAUUUUGGAGAAUGCACCUGACGUAGUCAAAGACAAACAUCCUGCCCCAACCACCAUCAUGCCCACCGACCAACGUGAAUUACUUGCCGGCCUCUGCAACUUCAUCAUGUCGGUGGAUGAUGUCGGGUGUUUGGAUUAA
rnacentral:rRNA from 1 species